AACGAACGCUGGCGGCAUGCCUAACACAUGCAAGUCGAACGAAGGCUUCGGCCUUAGUGGCGCACGGGUGCGUAACGCGUGGGAAUCUGCCCUUGGUUCGGAAUAACAGUUGGAAACGACUGCUAAUACCGGAUGAUGACGUUAAGUCCAAAGAUUUAUCGCCGAGGGAUGAGCCCGCGUAGGAUUAGCUAGUUGGUGUGGUAAGAGCGCACCAAGGCGACGAUCCUUAGCUGGUCUGAGAGGAUGAUCAGCCACACUGGGACUGAGACACGGCCCAGACUCCUACGGGAGGCAGCAGUGGGGAAUAUUGGACAAUGGGCGAAAGCCUGAUCCAGCAAUGCCGCGUGAGUGAUGAAGGCCUUAGGGUUGUAAAGCUCUUUUACCCGGGAUGAUAAUGACAGUACCGGGAGAAUAAGCUCCGGCUAACUCCGUGCCAGCCGCCGCCGUAA
rnacentral:rRNA from 1 species